UAGAAGCUUGCUUCUAUGACGUUAGCGGCGGACGGGUGAGUAACACGUGGGCAACCUGCCUGUAAGACUGGGAUAACUUCGGGAAACCGAAGCUAAUACCGGAUAGGAUCUUCUCCUUCAUGGGAGAUGAUUGAAAGAUGGUUUCGGCUAUCACUUACAGAUGGGCCCGCGGUGCAUUAGCUAGUUGGUGAGGUAACGGCUCACCAAGGCAACGAUGCAUAGCCGACCUGAGAGGGUGAUCGGCCACACUGGGACUGAGACACGGCCCAGACUCCUACGGGAGGCAGCAGUAGGGAAUCUUCCGCAAUGGACGAAAGUCUGACGGAGCAACGCCGCGUGAGUGAUGAAGGCUUUCGGGUCGUAAAACUCUGUUGUUAGGGAAGAACAAGUACAAGAGUAACUGCUUGUACCUUGACGGUACCUAACCAGAAAGCCACGGCUAACUACGUGCCAGCAGCCGCGGUAAUACGUAGGUGGCAAGCGUUAUCCGGAAUUAUUGGGCGUAAAGCGCGCGCAGGCGGUUUCUUAAGUCUGAUGUGAAAGCCCACGGCUCAACCGUGGAGGGUCAUUGGAAACUGGGGAACUUGAGUGCAGAAGAGA
rnacentral:rRNA from 2 species